rnacentral:rRNA from 1 species
UUAAGAUACUAAGAGCAUACGGGGGAUGCCUUGGCGAUAUCUGCCGAAGAAGGACGUGACAAGCUGCGAAAAGCUGCGGAGAGAUGCAAAUAAUCUUAGACCCGCAGAUAUCCGAAUGGAGCAAUCCGGCUGUGGUUAUGCACAGUCAUCCAUACCAUUGAGUAUGAGAAGGGAACCGGACGAACUGAAACAUCUAAGUAAUCCGAGGAAGAGUAAUCAAACGAGAUACCCCAAGUAGCGGCGAGCGAACGGGGCAGAAGCCCAAACCGCGGAAGGAAACUUUUGCGGGGUAGAGGGCCAUCAAUAAAACAAGAACCUUUAGCUGAAUCUGUUGGGAAACAGAGCCGAAGACAGUGAAAGCCUGGUAAGCGAAAGAGGGACUUGCGGAGAUGGUACCGGAGUACUGCGGGACACGAGAAAUCCCGUAGGAAGCAGGGGGGACCACCCUCCAAGGCAAAACACAGAUAUCGACCGAUAGCGAAUAGUACCAUGAGGGAAAGGUGAAAAGCACCCCGGGAGGGGAAUGAAAAAGAACCUGAAACCGUAUGUUUACAAGCAGUCGAAGACCGCUUAAUAAUAAGGUCAACGGCGUGCCUAUUGAAGAAUGAACCGGCGAGUUAUGAGGUCUGGCGAGGUUAAGCAGGAAAUGCGGAGCCGAAGCGAAAGCGAGUCUUAAUAGGGCGAGAAGUCGGAAAGCGUAGACCCGAAACCACAGUGAUCUACCCAUGUCCAGGUUGAAACACAGGUAAAAAUGUGUGGAGGACCGAACCUAUAUCCGUUGAAAAGGGUUAGGAUGAGGUGUGGGUAGGGGUGAAAUUCCAAUCGAACGUGGAGAUAGCUGGUUCUCCCCGAAAUAGCUUUAGGGCUAGCCUCAGGGAAGAGAUUACAGGCGGUAGAGCACUGAUCAGGGGCGGGACCUACCCGGUUACCAAACCUAGUCAAACUCCGAAUGGCUGUAAUUAUACCUGGGAGUCAGACUACGACUUAUAAGGGCCGUAGUCAAAAGGGAAACAGCCCAGACCAUCAGCUAAGGUCCCCAAUGCCGUGCUAAGUGGAGAAGGAUGUGGCAUUUCAUAAACAACCAGGAUGUUGGCUCAGAAGCAGCCACCAUUUAAAGAGUGCGUAAUAGCUCACUGGUCGAGAGACGCUGCGCCGAAAAUGUCCGGGGCUCAAGCACGGAACCGAAGCUAUGGCAGACGCAAGUCUGGGUAGGGGAGCGUUCUUAUGAGGAAGAAGCAUGACCGUAAGGACAUGUGGACACAUAAGAAGUGAGAAUGCCGGUAUGAGUAUCGAAAAGAAAGGUGAGAAUCCUUUCCACCGAAAGCCCGAGGGUUCCUGAGCAACGAUCGUCGACUCAGGGUAAGUCGGGACCUAAGCCGAGGCGAAAAGCAUAGGCGAUGGACAACAGGUUGAAAUUCCUGUACCGGAUAAAGUCGUUACGAGCAAUGGAGUGACGCAGGAGGGUACAUGAUCGCGCGACUGGAAGAGCGCGUCCAAGUGAGUAUGUAGAUACAGAGGCAAAUCCCUGUAUCUGAAAGCAGAGACAUGAUGGGGAGUUAAAGGAAACUUUGACGAACUGAUGGAUCCCACACUGCCAAGAAAAACUUCUAGCCAGACAAUAUCCGCCCGUACCGUAAACCGACACAGGUAGGCGGGGAGAGAAUCCUAAGGUGCGCGGGAAAACCCUCGUUAAGGAACUCGGCAAAUUGCAUCCGUAACUUCGGGAGAAGGAUGACCCUGAGUAAAAGAAGAGCAGAAACGCUUAGAGGAGAAAAGGGUGGCAGAAAAGAGGCCCAAGCAACUGUUUACCAAAAACACAGGUGCCUGCGAAAGCGAAAGCUGAAGUAUAGGUGCUGACGCCUGCCCGGUGCCGGAAGGUUAAGGAGAGAGGUCAGCUAAGGCGAAGCUUUGAACUGAAGCCCCAGUGAACGGCGGCCGUAACUAUAACGGUCCUAAGGUAGCGAAAUUCCUUGUCGGGUAAGUUCCGACCCGCACGAAAGGCGUAAUGAUUUGGGCACUGUCUCAACAAUGCACCCGGUGAAAUUGAAAUACCAGUGAAGAUGCUGGUUACCUGCGCCAGGACGGAAAGACCCCAUGGAGCUUUACUCCAGCUUGAUACUGGGAUUCGGUAUUGCAUGUACAGGAUAGGUGGGAGGCUAGGAAAUGGUAACGCCAGUUGCCAUGGAGCCAUUGUUGGGAUACCACCCUUGCAGUACUGGGUUUCUAACCAGCAGCCGUGAUCCGGCUGGGGGACAAUGUCAGGUGGGGAGUUUGACUGGGGCGGUCGCCUCCGAAAGGGUAUCGGAGGCGCUCAAAGGUUCCCUCAGAAUGGUUGGAAACCAUUCGAAGAGUGCAAAGGCAGAAGGGAGCUUGACUGCGACACCGACGGGUGGAGCAGGUACGAAAGUAGGACUUAGUGAUCCGGUGGUAUAAAGUGGGAUUGCCAUCGCUCAACGGAUAAAAGCUACCCUGGGGAUAACAGGCUUAUCACUCCCAAGAGUUCACAUCGACGGAGUGGUUUGGCACCUCGAUGUCGGCUCAUCGCAUCCUGGGGCUGAAGUAGGUCCCAAGGGUUGGGCUGUUCGCCCAUUAAAGCGGUACGCGAGCUGGGUUCAGAACGUCGUGAGACAGUUCGGUCCCUAUCUGUCGUGGGCGCAGGAUAUUUGAUGGGAGCUGUCCCUAGUACGAGAGGACCGGGACGGACGUACCUCUGGCGCACCAGUUGUUCCGCCAGGAGCAUAGCUGGGCAACUACGUACGGAUCGGAUAAACGCUGAAAGCAUCUAAGCGUGAAGCCGACCCAAAGAUAAGAUAUCCCAUUGUUUUAAACAAGUAAGACCCCUUGAAGACUACAAGGUUGAUAGGCACGAUGUGUAAGUGGAGCGAUCCAUUCAGCAAGCGUGUACUAAUAGGUCGAGGGCUUGACCAC